CCGUAACUAUAACGGUCCUAAGGUAGCGAAAUUCCUUGUCGGGUAAGUUCCGACCCGCACGAAAGGCGUAACGAUUUGGGCACUGUCUCAACGAGGGACCCGGUGAAAUUGAAGUACCUGUGAAGAUGCAGGUUACCCGCGACUGGACAGAAAGACCCCAUGGAGCUUUACUGCAACUUGAGAUUGGAUCUCGGUGACAAAUGUACAGGAUAGGUGGGAGACUUUGAACUGAUGGCGCCAGCUGUCAGGGAGUCGAUGUUGGGAUACCACCCUUUUGUGACUGAGAUUCUAACGCCAAGCGUAACGAGCUUGCGGACAUUCUCAGGCGGGCGGUUUGACUGGGGCGGUCGCCUCCGAAAGAGUAACGGAGGCGCCCAAAGGUUCCCUCAGCGCGGACGGAAAUCGCGCGAAGAGUGUAAAGGCAGAAGGGAGCUUGACUGCGAGACCCACAAGUCGAGCAGGGACGAAAGUCGGGCUUAGUGAUCCGGUGGUUCCGAGUGGAAGGGCCAUCGCUCAACGGAUAAAAGCUACCCUGGGGAUAACAGGCUAAUCUCUCCCAAGAGUCCAUAUCGACGGGGAGGUUUGGCACCUCGAUGUCGGCUCAUCACAUCCUGGGGCUGAAGUAGGUCCCAAGGGUUGGGCUGUUCGCCCAUUAAAGUGGUACGUGAGCUGGGUUCAGAACGUCGUGAGACAGUUCGGUCCCUAUCCAUCGCGGGCGCAAGAAACUUGAAGGGGGCUGCUCCUAGUACGAGAGGACCGGAGUGGACGGACCAAUGGUGUACCAGUUAUUCUGCCAAGAGUACAGCUGGGUAGCUACGUCCGGGACGGAUAAACGCUGAAAGCAUCUAAGCGUGAAACCAGCCUUGAGAUGAGGUUUCUCAUAACAAAAGUUAGUAAGACCCCUUGUAGACGACAAGGUAGAUAGGCCGGGAGUGGAAGUGCCGCAAGGCACGGAGCGGACCGGUACUAAUCGGUCGAGGGCUUAACUUA
rnacentral:rRNA from 1 species